rnacentral:rRNA from 1 species
UACGUAGGUGACAAGCGUUGUCCGGAUUUACUGGGCGUAAAGAGCGCGCAGGCGGUCGUUCAAGUCGAGUGUGAAAGCCCCCGGCUCAACUGGGGAGGGUCAUUCGAUACUGAUCGACUCGAAGGCAGGAGAGGGAAGUGGAAUUCCCGGUGUAGUGGUGAAAUGCGUAGAUAUCGGGAGGAACACCAGUGGCGAAGGCGCUCUGCUGGACCACAACUGACACUCACAGGACGAAAGCUAGGGGAGCGAAUGGG